GAUGAACGCUGGCGGCGUGCUUAACACAUGCAAGUCGAACGAUGAAGCCCAGCUUGCUAGGUGGAUUAGUGGCGAACGGGUGAGUAACACGUGAGUAACCUGCCCUUAACUCUGGGAUAAGCCUGGGAAACUGGGUCUAAUACCGGAUAGGAGCGUCCACCGCAUGGUGGGUGUUGGAAAGAUUUAUCGGUUUUGGAUGGACUCGCGGCCUAUCAGCUUGUUGGUGAGGUAAUGGCUCACCAAGGCGACGACGGGUAGCCGGCCUGAGAGGGUGACCGGCCACACUGGGACUGAGACACGGCCCAGACUCCUACGGGAGGCAGCAGUGGGGAAUAUUGCACAAUGGGCGCAAGCCUGAUGCAGCGACGCCGCGUGAGGGAUGACGGCCUUCGGGUUGUAAACCUCUUUCAGUAGGGAAGAAGCGAAAGUGACGGUACCUGCAGAAGAAGCACCGGCUAACUACGUG
rnacentral:rRNA from 1 species